AAAAAAACAAAUAACAAUCAAAAUUGAAAAAUAUAAAAUUGCGAGAAACUGCAUUUAUAUGAUUUUCGGUAACAACCAGCCAACGGUGCAUCGAUCGAAUUUCAUCCAACAUUCAACGCAUGCAAUCAUCGUUUCUACCAUUCUUCACAUUUUCUCUAUACAAUUCGUGUUCUUCAAGUCACGUAACCCUAAACCUAAAUCCAAUUCCGAACGAAUAAUUACAUUGAUUGAUUAA